rnacentral:lncRNA from 1 species
UCUGUCUAAUUUUAAUGCCAAAUUAGAGUUUACCUCAAUUUCAUGGUCCACUGAACAUAGAAUAUGAUAGUGCGAUUUGGGCAUCCAUGUACUAUGGACACAUUCUUGUUGUUUUAUUUGGACAAAGAUCUGAUAAUAUUGAGAUUUUUUUUUAUAGGUAUCUAGCCUGUGAAUAGUUAUUUCUAGUCAUUCAGUUUAUAUCAGAGUUAAAUUUGCAAUUGAGAUGAGUAUGCAUACUUUUUUCAGUCCAAUUUUAAGUUUAUG